rnacentral:rRNA from 1 species
CCCUUAGAUGUUCUGGGCCGCACACGCGCUACACUGACGAAGUCAGCGAGCAUGUCCUACGCCGACAGGUGCGGGGAAUCUUGUCAAACUUCGUCGUGAUGGGGAUUGAUUAUUGAAAUUCUUGAUCAUCAACGAGGAAUUCCUAGUAAGCGCAAGUCAGCAGCUUGCGUUGAUUACGUCCCUGCCCUUUGUACACACCGCCCGUCGCUACUACCGAUUGAAUGGUUUAGUGAGAUCUUCGGAUUGGCGCCACUGCGGCUCAGCAAUGGGCUCGGUGGAUGCCGAAAAGUUGAUCAAACUUGAUCAUUUAGAGGAAGUAAAAGUCGUAACA